rnacentral:rRNA from 1 species
AGAGUUUGAUCCUGGCUCAGGACGAACGCUGGAGGCACGCUUAAAACAUGCAAGUCGAACGAGAAGCUUUGGUGCUUGCACCGAAGUGGGAAGUGGCGAACGGGUGAGUAACACAUGAGAAACCUGCCCCGAAGAUUGGGAUAAGCCUUGGAAACGAGGUCUAAUACCGAAUACCUUCUAAUUAUCACAUGGUAAAUAGAAGAAAGCUCAGGCGCUUUGGGAUGGUCUCGUGGCCUAUCAGCUUGUUGGUGAGGUAAAAGCUCACCAAGGCAACGACGGGUAGCUGGUCUGAGAGGAUGUCCAGCCACAUUGGAACUGAGAUACGGUCCAAACUCCUACGGGAGGCAGCAGUUAGGAAUCUUGCACAAUGGGGGAAACCCUGAUGCAGCGAUGCCUCGUGCGGGAUGAAGGCCUUAGGGUUGUAAACCGCUUUCAGUUGGGAAGAAAGUGACGGUACCAACAGAAGAAGCCCCGGCCAACUAUGUGCCAGCAGCCGCGGCGAUACAUAGGGGGCGAGCGUUGUCCGGAUUUAUUGGGCGUAAAGAGCUCGUAGGCGGUUUAAUAAGUCGACAAGUGAAAUCUCCAGGCUCAACCUGGAGCAGCCUUGCGAUACUAUUAUGACUUGAGUGUGGUAGAGGAGUGUGGAAUUCCCAGUGUAGCGGUGAAAUGCGCAGAUAUUGGGAGGAACACCUAUGGCGAAGGCAGCACUCUGGGCCAUUACUGACGCUGAGGAGCGAAAGCGUGGGGAGCGAACAGGAUUAGAUACCCUGGUAGUCCACGCCGUAAACGUUGGACACUAGGUGUGGGAUGCGAUCAACGCAUUCCGUGCCGAAGUUAACGCAUUAAGUGUCCCGCCUGGGGAGUACGAUCGCAAGAUUAAAACUCAAAGGAAUUGACGGAGAUCUGCACAA